CCCCAAAUCGAGUCUUUUGUGCCCUCGCCGCUGCCCCCCAAACGCGAUCUGCCAUCGCCGCCGCCCCCAACCAUCACCCCUCGCCACCGCUCCCAACCAUCACCCUCGCCGCCGCCCCGCAACCACCGCCGCCGCCGACUACCCUCCACUCCGACCACUGCCGCAGUCGCCCCCAGCACCCCACCUUGGCGCCGCCGAGCACCAACUAUCACGGAUCUAAGCCCCCGCCUGCCGGCCCAGUUGCCGAGCCACUCAAUCGCCGACCACCAUCCUUGACCGAACGAUCCAUCGCCACGACCCUACUCCGCGAGCUUCCUUGCCCGAGCAGCAGUUGUCACCGGAGCAUCGAGCGAGGCCGCCUCCUCUAUGUGACUACGUCCUCUGCCCCAAGCAGCGGACCGUCCGUCCCCUCCUACGAGCAACCCUACCUCCUCAACGUCCUCUCCCUUGGUGUUGUUUGAGUAUUACUAAUUUGCAAGACUGAUCAUCAGAGCUAGCAGCAGUGAAAGUAAACUGCAUCUUUCGAUGAAGUUGACGACGACAGCUACGGAUACAAAACGGGGAAAAAGAAUACAUUAUGGAGACUAUGCAAUGCUUUCUAUUUGCUAGAGACAACCUCCCCAACGACGUGUACCGUGAGUUUCUCAAGACCAUGACCGAGGUUUGGAAAAACUGUCCCAACUGCAGGGCUGACCCUGAUGGUGAAAUAAGGAACAUCUGCCCUGAAAACUGCAUAGAGACGGCGUUGAAGCUAUUCUCGGGCUGGGCUACAGUUAAGCAGAGCUUCCUGAACUUUACUGAAGGCCAUAGCCCCAUCGAAGGCAAUGACAAUGUCGAUGCUGAUGUUGAAGCCGUUGUUGUGUACCCCUUGCUACAUGAACCAAUGGAUUUUCUUUCCAGGUUGAAGAACUAGGCCCAGUUCUAAUUGAUUGGCGGGUUCCCGGUGUGGUCUUUUACUUGCUAUGUUGCGUCGCUUGAGGAAAGAGUGAGUAAAGAUGCUGAAAGAAGGUGUCUGUAAUUCUACUUGAAUCAUUGGCAGCAAUUUUGUCUGGGUUGCUCCUUCUGUACUUACUAGAGUGGUUGUAUUUACUACUGUAUUGUGUAUUCCAACUUCUAUUUAAUUAGGUUACUCUAGCUUAGCUCUUUUCAUUUUCACAAGGUGGUAUUUAAUAAUCUGUCUGGGUUUAGUGUCACCUAUUGUAGGGCUCAUUAUCUACAUCCUCUCCCUAGGCAGCACUGCCUCCUGUACUUCCUUGCCCCAACUGAGAGCAUUUGUCAGGUUGAUGGAGGUUCGGAAGAUCUACAAGUUGCUGUAGGUUUGUAAGAUCUACAUGUUGCUGGAAGUUUGUAAGAUCUACAAGUUGUUGCUGGAUGUUUGGAAGAUCUACAAGUUAAUGGAGUGAUAAUAUAUACAUAUGUAAUAUGCUUUGUUUGUUGAACCUUGAGACAUUGAGUUUUACACUGCAUUUUGGUGGUUGUUUCAGAACACAAGUCAUUGUAUGCUCAUUUUGGUUGUGGCAUGAUUUCUUACAUUUCCUUUGAGGCACAAUGUCCUUGUAUAUGGUUGGUACAUGCAUGCAUAAGAAACAUAUAUUUUUGGUCUGUUUAUUUUA